rnacentral:rRNA from 1 species
GACGUAGGAGGCGAGCGUUGUCCGGAUUUAUUGGGCGUAAAGAGCGUGUAGGCGGCCAGGUAGGUCUGGUGUGAAAACUCGAGGCUUAACCUCGAGAUGUCAUCGGAAACCAUCUGGCUAGAGUCCGGAAGAGGAGAGUGGAAUUCCUGGUGUAGCGGUGAAAUGCGCAGAUAUCAGGAAGAACACCAAUGGCGAAAGCAGCUCUCUGGGACGGUACUGACGCUGAGACGCGAAAGCGUGGGGAGCGAACAGG